AUUGAACGCUGGCGGCGUGCUUAACACAUGCAAGUCGAACGGUAACAGGCCCUUCGGGUGCUGACGAGUGGCGGACGGGUGAGUAAUGCGUAGGAAUCUGCCUUACAGUGGGGGAGUAACCUAGGGAAACUUAGGCUAAUACCGCAUAAGCUCUACGGAGGAAAGCGGGGGAGUCGUAAGACCUCGCGCUGUUAGAUGAGCCUACGUCCGACUUAGCUAGUUGGUAGGGUAAAGGCCUACCAAGGCGACGAUCGGUAGCUGGUCUGAGAGGACGAUCAGCCACACUGGGACUGAGACACGGCCCAGACUCCUACGGGAGGCAGCAGUGGGGAAUAUUGGACAAUGGGCGCAAGCCUGAUCCAGCGACGCCGCGUGGGUGAAGAAGGCC
rnacentral:rRNA from 1 species